AAUGAUGUGCCUGAAUAAAGGACUAUCUUGAUAGGAUAGAUAAUGUAAUCUAUAUUACCCUCAUUA
rnacentral:tRNA from 1 species